rnacentral:rRNA from 1 species
GAUGAACGCUGGCGGCGUGCCUAAUACAUGCAAGUCGAACGAAAAGAUGAGGAGCUUGCGCCUCUGACGUUAGCGGCGGACGGGAGAGUAACACGUGGAUAACCUACCUAUAAGACUGGGAUAACUACGGGAAACCGGAGCUAAUACCGGAUGAUAUAUUGAACCGCGUGGGGCAAUAGUGAAAGACGGUUUUGCUGGCGGUAAUAGAUGGAUAAGCGCCGCAUUAGCUAGUUGGUAAGGUAACGGCUUACCAAGGCAACGAUGCGCAGCCGACCUCAAAGGGUGGUCGCCCACCUUGGAACUGGGCCACGCCCCAGACUCCUGCGGUAGGCCGCAGUCGGGAAUCUUCCGCAAUGGGCGAAAGCCUGACGGAGCACCGCCGCGUGAGUGAUGAAGGUCUUCGGAUCGUAAAGCUCUGUUAUUAGUGAAGAACAAAUGUGUAAUUAACUAUGCACGUCUUGACGGUACCUAAUCAGAAAGCCCCGGCUAACUACGUG